UCUCCGUAGGUGAACCUGCGGAGGGAUCAUUAAUGAGAACUUGCCCUAGCGGGUAGAUCUCCCACCCUUUGUUUAUUAUACCUUUGUUGCUUUGCCAGGCCCGUCUCUCGGGGCCGCCGGCUCCGGCUGGCCAGCGCCUGGCAGAGACUCCAAACUCUUUUGUAUUUGUCGUCAGAGUACUAUAUAAUAGUUAAAACUUUCAACAACGGAUCUCUUGGUUCUGGCAUCGAUGAAGAACGCAGC
rnacentral:misc_RNA from 1 species